GGCGUCCGCGUGCUGGACGGCCUGACGGCCGGGCCCGGGCACGGUUAGGCUGGCCCGGUGCGCCUUCCGCAGGGAAGCCGCAAAGCCGACAGCCGUCGCAUCCCAGGGAGCAUUCUCAUG
rnacentral:sRNA from 1 species